rnacentral:rRNA from 1 species
GAUGAACGCUGGCGGCGUGCCUAAUACAUGCAAGUCGAGCGAACAGACGAGGAGCUUGCUCCUCUGACGUUAGCGGCGGACGGGUGAGUAACACGUGGAUAACCUACCUAUAAGACUGGGAUAACUUCGGGAAACCGGAGCUAAUACCGGAUAAUAUAUUGAACCGCAUGGUUCAAUAGUGAAAGACGGUUUUGCUGUCACUUAUAGAUGGAUCCGCGCCGCAUUAGCUAGUUGGUAAGGUAACGGCUUACCAAGGCAACGAUGCGUAGCCGACCUGAGAGGGUGAUCGGCCACACUGGAACUGAGACACGGUCCAGACUCCUACGGGAGGCAGCAGUAGGGAAUCUUCCGCAAUGGGCGAAAGCCUGACGGAGCAACGCCGUGUGAGUGAUGAAGGUCUUCGGAUCGUAAAACUCUGUUAUUAGGGAAGAACAAAUGUGUAAGUAACUAUGCACGUCUUGACGGUACCUAAUCAGAAAGCCACGGCUAACUAC